UGUGACCCUAGGGCAGGGGACUGGCUGGCUCAGGGGGGCAGGGAAUGGGACAUGGGGCCUUUCCCCUCUAGGGGGCGCUGGCUCUGAUAUGACCCCCAGGGCAGGGGACUGGCUGGCUUGGGGGCAGGGAAUGGGAUAUGGGACUUUCCCCUCUAGGGGGCACCACUUUUGAUCUCUCUUUGUCUGAUGCUAGCUUUCAGCACAGUUCAGGCAGAGAGGAGGGAAUUCUCCAGGUUGGCGUUUGGCCAGGAUGGACACCGGGGUUCACACCCCAACCUGCCAGAGGCUCCUUAGCUACACGUGUAUUCAGGCCUGGGUGUGAGACGUGACCCGAAGGACAGAGGGGGAGGAGCAAGGGGGGGUGUCUGAGGAGUUGGGCCUGGGCUGGGCUUAUGCUUCUGACUCCUUGGGAACUGUACCCCACCAGAAGUUACUGCUGCCUGACAGAUGGACAGCGGGCUGUAUGGGGCUGGGUAGAUAGAGGGGGUGAAAGGGGAUAGACAGAUGGAUACCAGCCAUGUGUGAGGAUAGACAGAGCACUGUGUAUGGGGCUGAGUAGAUGCAGAGAAGGGGUGUUUGAGGCUACAGAGGGAGUUUAUGGGGCUGGCUGGAUAGAGGGGUGUGUAUGGGAUGAAUGGGUAGGUGCACCUGGGGAUAGAUGAAUGGAUAGAGGGGAUGGAUGGAUAAAGGGAUGUGUAUGCAGAUGGAUGGGUGGACAGAGGAGUGUGUAUGGGGCUGGAUGGACAGACCGAGGGGUAUGUAUGGGGCUGGGUGGAUAGAGGGAUGUGCACGGGGCUCGCUGGCUGGCUGGCUGGAGGGAGGGGUGUGCAUGGGGCUGGAUGGACAGAGGGGUGUGUUUGGGGCUGGGUGGAUAGAGGGGUGUGCAUGGGGCUGGAUGGACAGACCGAGGGGUAUGUAUGGGGCUGGGUGGAUAGAGGGAUGUGCAUGGGGCUCGCUGGCUGGCUGGCUGGAGGGAAGGGUGUGCAUGGGGCUGGAUGGACAGAGGGGUGUGUAUGGGGCUGAGUGGAUAGAGGGGUGUGCAUGGGGCCGGAUGGAUGGAUGGGGAGGUGUGUAUGAGGGAUGGAUGGAUGGAUGGAUGGAUAGAGUGGUGUGCAUGAGGCUGUAUGGACAGACAGAGGGUGUCUAUGGGGCUGGCUGGCUGGAUCGAGGAGCUGGAUGGACAGAGGGUGUGUAUGGGGCUGGCUGGCUGGAUCGAGAGGCUGGAUGGACAGACAGAGGGGUGUGUAUGGGACUGGCUGGCUGACUGGAUCGAGGGGAUGGAUGGUCAGACAGAGGGGUGUAUAUGGGGCUGGCUGGAGCGGUGUGCAUGGGGCUGGAUGGACAAACAGGGGAGUGUGCAUGGGGCUGGAUGGACAGACAGGGGGGUGUGUAUGGGGCUGGAAGGACAGACAGAGGAGUGUGCAUGGGGCUGGAUGGACAGACGGAGGGGUGUGUAUGGGGCUGGCUGGACAAACAGAGGGGUGUGCAUGGGGCUGGACGGACAGACAGAGGGGUGUGUAUGGGUCUGGCUGGCUGGCUGAAGGGGCUGGAUGGACAGACAGAGGGGUGUGUAUAGGGCUGGAUGGACAGACAGAGCAGUGUGCAUAGGGCUGGAUGGGCAGACAGAGGGGUGUGCAUGGGGCUGGAUGGACAGACAGGGGUAUGCAUGGGGCUGGAUGGACAGACAGAGGGAUGUAUAUGGGGCUGGAUGGAUAGACAGAGGGGUGGGCCUGGGGCUGGAUGGACAGACAGAACGGUGUGCAUAGGGCUGGAUGGGCAGACAGAGGGUAUGCAUGGGGCUGGCUGGACAGAGGGGUGUGUAUGGAGCUGGAUGGACAGACAGAG